rnacentral:rRNA from 1 species
UUGUACAUGAAAUCUGGUAUAUUGGCGUAAGAGCUCGUAGGCGGUUUGUCGCGUCUGCUGUGAAAGACCGGGGCUCAACUCCGGUUCUGCAGUGGGUACGGGCAGACUAGAGUGCAGUAGGGGAGACUGGAAUUCCUGGUGUAGCGGUGAAAUGCGCAGAUAUCAGGAGGAACACCGAUGGCGAAGGCAGGUCUCUGGGCUGUAACUGACGCUGAGGAGCGAAAGCAUGGGGAGCGAACAGGAUUAGAUACCCUGGUAGUCCAUGCCGUAAACGUUGGGCACUAGGUGUGGGGGACAUUCCACGUUUUCCGCGCCGUAGCUAACGCAUUAAGUGCCCCGCCUGGGGAGUACGGCCGCAAGGCUAAAACUCAAAGGAAUUGACGGGGGCCCGCACAAGCGGCGGAGCAUGCGGAUUAAUUCGAUGCAACGCGAAGAACCUUACCAAGGCUUGACAUGAACCGGUAAUACCUGGAAACAGGUGCCCCGCUUGCGGUCGGUUUACAGGUGGUGCAUGGUUGUCGUCAGCUCGUGUCGUGAGAUGUUGGGUUAAGUCCCGCAACGAGCGCAACCCUCGUUCUAUGUUGCCAGCGCGUUAUGGCGGGGACUCAUAGGAGACUGCCGGGGUCAACUCGGAGGAAGGUGGGGACGACGUCAAAUCAUCAUGCCCCUUAUGUCUUGGGCUUCACGCAUGCUACAAUGGCCGGUACAAAGGGUUGCGAUACUGUGAGGUGGAGCUAAUCCCAAAAAGCCGGUCUCAGUUCGGAUUGGGGUCUGCAACUCGACCCCAUGAAGUCGGAGUCGCUAGUAAUCGCAGAUCAGCAACGCUGCGGUGAAUACGUUCCCGGGCCUUGUACACACCGCCCGUCAAGUCACGAAAGUUGGUUAACACCCGAAGCCGUUGGCCUAACCCUUGUGGGGGGAGCCGUCGAAUGUGGGACCGGCGAUUGUGACUAAGUCGUACCAAGGUAACCCAUUU